UUUUUCUUAUUAUAUUUUUUAAUUUUAUUUUAAAUCCUCAAAGUAAUAAAAAUUCACUUUCAUAUAAAUUUAUUCACUAUUUUGAAAAUUAGAUUGGUCAUCAAAUCAAUAAGAGUACUGAAUCACUAAUUUAUUGGUCAAACAACUAUGUCAUUGGUCGAACCGCAUGACUAAACCAGAUUAAUCUAGAUAAUUUGGUUGAAUAGUUC
rnacentral:lncRNA from 1 species